UUGACAUUCCUGUUUGUGUGGCUUAACGUCAGGAGUGAGGGCAAGGGAGGGUUACCCCUCCCCCUGGUGUCUUAGUAAGCCGGUAAGCUAAUGACUAAGAGUAUCACCAGUAUGAUGACUGGCCUCAUCAUAACCCUUUCCUUAU
rnacentral:sRNA from 1 species